CCUACGGGUGGCAGCAGUGGGGAAUAUUGCACAAUGGGGGGAACCCUGAUGCAGCAAAGCCGCGUGGGUGAAGAAGUUCUCCGGUAUGUAAAGCCCUGUCAGUCGGGAAGCAAAUGCCGGUACCUGUCCCAGAAGCCCUGGACAACUACGUGACAGCAGCCGCGGUAAUACGGAGGGGGCAGGCGUUAUACGGAUUAACCGGGCGUAAAGGGAGCGUAGACGGCAAGGCAAGUCUGGAGGGAAUGCCCGGGGCCCAACCCCGGGACUGCGUUUGAAACUGUGUUGCUGGAGUGCAGGAGGGGUAAGCGGAAUGCCUAGUGUAGCGGUGAAAUGCGUAGAUAUUAGGAGGAACACCGGUGGCGAAGGCGGCAUACUGGACUGUAACUGACGUUGAGGCACGAAGGCGUGGGGAGCAAACAGGAUUAGAUACCCGAGUAGUC
rnacentral:rRNA from 1 species